GGUUGUAGCUCAGUGGUAGAGUGCUUGCCUCGCAUGUGUGAGGCCCUGGGUUCGGUCUCCAGCAUCA
rnacentral:tRNA from 1 species